GGCCUCAGCAUUGACUCUGUUGGCUUGUGCAAAACCAGCCCUGCGGGUGUGGUGAAGCCUCCAGUGUGGUGUCCCACAGGAUGGGUGUAGAGCAGCAGCACACGGGGGUAUUUUUGUUGAGCUACAGAUGCAUUUUUAUAUAAAAAUGUGUAAAAAAGCAAAGAUUCCUUAGUAAUCAGUUAAAGCAGUUGGCAUUUUUCACGGAUGUACAGAAAAGAAGUCUCCUUAUUUUAGAGUUCAUUUAAUGAAGCUUAUGGCCAAUCUUAUUCUUUUCAUAAUGAAGCCUUGCUGUAAUCCCACCUCUGCUCUCCUAAAUUCCUCAGUUCAAACGUGGAGAUAGCAGUUAAAAUUAAAUGCUACUUCAUGGAAACCACCAGUUCUCUUAUUCCUGAGAAUUUUCAUCCUUGAGCUUCUCGGGCUAAUGAUAAAUAGCUGAUUCCUUCCCUUCCUUGUGCUUUUUCUCCAAACAACAACAUAAAAUUGCUCCGUUAAAUUCCAGUUCAAAUUAAUGGAAGUCUGGGGGAGAAGGAACAGACAAACAAACCAGGAAGUGUUUUAUAUUUGGGUUUUUCGUUUCAUCUCGUGGCAGAUGGGUUUGGUGUUUUUUACAGCCACCUUUUGAAAUCAGUAUGUUAUUUUGUCAUUUCUUUGCAGGAGAGUAACAGCUCUGAAUCUUUAUCAUAUUGAUCGUUUCACAGCCCUUCGUCUGGGGCCCAAGAUAAUACAGAGCAUUGUUAUUGCAUUAUUAUUUUUCAUUUGUAUCCUAUUGAUUUGCUGCCAGUAACUUACAGGUCAAUUUGCAAAAAGAUGGGCUAUGAUUUAUUUUUUUUCUGAAGGAUUAUGCCACGAUGGGAAUGCUUUUAUAAGGCUGUCAGGUCUUUAGGUUUGUUUUUUCUUCUCUUGGGAGUGCAGCACAUUUCUGGGCUGGUGGCACAGUUCCACCUGGAUUUACACCCGGAGUAUCCAUGACUCUCACAUAAUUCAUAUGGAUAAGUGGCUGUACACAAGCCUACCCUUAAAUUGGAAUUUUACUCCCGGGAAAUGGUUCUUUUCUCACUCAGAAAUAACACACAAAGUCAAUAUAGUUACACUGAUGUAAAAGAGAGGGGAGAGGAGACUUUAUCUGUCUGAACACAACAAGCUCCCAAGGUUUAACACCCCCAAAUGGCAGGUGCUAAAAACAGACAUGAAAAAUUAUUUUUGGUACCAUCUUUUUUGUUUGCCAUAGUAACAACAGUUUACUACCAAGUAGUAGUAGUCCAGUUACUAACAACUUGGUACUCAGAAGGCCCACUUUUGAAACAAAAUAAGGACUCUUAACCAAAUGUUUUCCUUAUUUAUAUUUGACUUACCAUCAUUAGAAUGUAGAUACUAGGAAAGCAUGGAUUAUAACAGUAUGCAAAAUUGCACAAGUACUUUUAAUUCCUUCUGUAUAAAACUCCUGCUACAUAAUUUACACAGGGCAAGUUUUUUAAUUACUCAGUGCAAAAUGUGUUAAAUGCAGUAGCUGAUGUAUACAUCCACCGUGAUUUGUACUAUUAUUUUUCCCUGGAACCCAUCCAGGUAAAUCAAACCCACAGUGAGGGACUUCCAGUUCAUGUUCUGCUUACAGUGUAUUGAAUUUUCCUGGCACCCUUUCAGCAGGAGCAAUUUGACAAGAGAAUUUUUUUUGGUAGCACUGAAUACCUUUUUCUGCCAGUGAAUAUUUUCCUGUUUGGAAUUGGUGUGAUGCUUUAUACUGGACUGUGGUACAGAACUGGGUGCUGAUGUUAAACCAUCCUCUUACCAGCUCAGGUCACUGGAAUAACCUUCUCAGUGUGGGAAAUUUUAUUCUAAAUUGUAGAUCAUUGAUGGAGCUCAAAGCGAGACACAGCCCAAUUAAAUUUCUCAUUCAUAUUGUGUCCCAUGACAAGAAAAUUAUCAAGUAGCUGAAUUGAUGCCCUUAUGUUGUAGGAAUAUUUCAAAGAAUGUUUUAAUGUUUUCUUCUCUUACUUGCCCAGGUUUUGCUUCACAUUUUGACACCAUUAGGUGUCUAAUACAACUGUACUAGACGGGAGUGAGGUCAAAUGAGAUUUCCUGCUUGAAAUGGACAUGUGAAGUCACAAAAUGUGCUCAAUACUAUACAGUGCCUGAGUUAAGAGGUGGCUGUUAUCACAGAUAUCAAGCUCUUCUGGAAGUUCUCUGUUUCCUGCACUGUUUCUGGUUUGGUGCAGCCCUGGACAAUGUCAGGGAUGUGGUGUCACCACUUGAAGAUCUCAGGAAGGACAAAUCAAUUUUGAAGGACUGAUAACUCCAGGCUUUGUGACGGACCAAAUCCUUGCUCUCCCCAGUUCCUUGGAGCUGAAGGUGCUCACCCACACUGACAGUUUAGACCCCCUGGCAUCGCGCCGAGGAGCUGCGGAACCAGAGUUCCGGGCCCAGCUUGGGCCCAGCUGGGUGGCCAUCACUCGCCCUCCCAGGGUCCCCGCGGUGAAGGCUCUGUGAGGGCCGCGGCUGCGGGGGCCACACAGACGUCACCGCCGUUGGGAUGGAUCCAUAGGGAUGUGUGUCCCUUGUGACUGAUGCCGGGGACAUGACUGCCGUGCGGGAUGGGCCUGUCUCUGGGUUUGGGGCUCGGGGCUCUGGAAUCCCGCGGCUCUGCCGGGGCGGGGCGAGGGGCGGGGCGGAGGCUCCGGAACGCGGGGCUGGGGCAGCGAUCCACCUAUCCUAUUUAAUGGAGGUACUGCCGUCAUUGUCACUGCCGUCAGUAUUGUGUGUUGUCAUUGAUAUUACACUGUCAUAUUUGUCUUGCUGUCCAUUAUUAAACUGUUCUGAUCUCA